AAUCUGUGCCGCAUAAAAAAAUAACGCGCGCGGGAAUAUGAAACUCCGUUUUGCCUUUUGAAAAACAAAGUUUUUGACAAUCACAAGGGACAUUUUCGCAAAUAAAGUUGCUCUUCAUUUCGAGUGCAAACUGUAUCAUGUCAAGGAAGAAGAGACUGAACUUCAUUCAAGAGCUUGAUUCUUGACUUGCAUCUCGCCCGUGGCACUGACGACUGAAAGCCUCAUUUACUUGUUAUCAUCGACCGACCGCCGUCUACCUGGCCAUCGCUUCUGAUCGCGUUACGCCGAUAAUCGCUCUCUCCUCAUCGCCAGGAGAGCCGGAUACCUCGUCAGGGAUUCCUGUACCUCAAGCAAUCAAGACCGCAGCCUGCAUAGAUAGAUACCCUUCCUGGAUGUGAGUGAUGCCCAGUGCUGCAUGUAAAUGAUUCCAUCAUCCAUCUGUACUCACAUCCACUUGGGAGAAACAUAUACAUCCUCCUAACACGUUUAGUCUAGUCUUCAGACCUCUCUUGACCUCAUCCUGCCAACACGCACGGAUCGGGUUUGCAUCUGAGUUUCCCCGGUGGAGAACAGGGAUGUGAUACGAUAGAACCAUCGCUGAUACCAUACCAACUGAUGCAAGGACUGAUCGAUGUCUUAACAGAAGUCAUGAUUAAUAUGCUGACGGUCAUAUGUCAUGUGACUUGCAAUGGAUCUGAAGUGCUUACAUGAGGUACUAAUCUUGACCAAUCCCCUCGCUCGCUAUGCAUGAUUGCUUUUCUGCCGACGUUGAAUAUCGAGUUGCUUAACUCAACCACGCACUCCCAGUUUCUCUCCUCCCCCCACCCCUUCAUUUUGCGUUAUCCCGGCCAAAGAUUUGAUUAAAAGGCCCCAAAUUAGAUUUGAUGUUACCUAGCCAAGGGGGAUGCUAGCAAGAUGAUGAUUGCGCACUUGUAAACUGAAGCAGAGACCCAUUACAAACACUUUACAAGUCCUUUUGAUUAUAGCUGAGUACACGUUCUAAGCAUCCAGGCACUCUUGGAUAUCGACAUUUGUUUCUAAUCCCUCGUGAAUCGUGUGUCCAUAAAGGCGGAGAAUUCAUCCUCCCGGUGAAGAUUUAAAGCACACCCUCUCCAGGUGGAGACCUGGAAAGUUGCCUGAGUUCAACUGGAUUUCAUGAGGAGUUUAUUUCAACUUAAGUUUGCAUCAUUGUGAGUGACGGAUAGACGGGGAACAUUCAAAACAGAUCGCUUGAUCUAGGAGGGGGAUUUCCACACUCUUAUCCAUUUCAAGUUCAGUUCACUCCCUGGGAAAUUGCAUCAGCCUGCUGAAGCCUGAGAAGCCCCUUCUGCAUGAUCGAGAGCGGACGAAUGAGACGUAGAUCGAGCUGGCGUCAUCUCGUACGAUCCAUCACUAGCCAUUGGGAGAAAUGAGGAGUUGAUGAGAACUUCAUUUCAUCUUUGCCUGUAUACUGUUUGUAUAUAUGCUUCAUCAGUAAGGCUAUUCACCUUUUUCAAGUGUGGAUCCCGUCACAGCUCAGACACAGUAACUGGACAUCUUAACAAAAGCAAUACAGAUCAAAUAGAAUCAGUCAUUAUACAAUUCCUGUUCAACUCUCUGGUGUAUUCCAGGAAGGAAACUCUUGUUGUUUUGUUCGAUGUCCUGACAAGGUGCCUAGACCACAUACAUGCUGUUGUAAUUUGUUUGCCACCUAUUAAUCGUCAGUAAAGCACCACCAAUGCCAACUGGAUGCCAGAGAAUGUUCAGCAAGCUGUAUUGCAAGGUUGUUUUCUGCUGUGAAUCCCAUUUGAAUGUGCUAUAGGACUGAAUUGGAUGAAGAAUUGUAAGAAAAGGAACUUUAUUGAUUUUUUUUUCUUCUUCCAAGAAAAGUGCUGCUUCAAGGCCUUGAAGAUUGCGCACUGUGGGAUUCUGCCUGGUGCUGCGACUUGUAAGACAGCUUUGGGUUGCUACGGUUGUUCAAAUCAACUCUAAACUCAGGACAGGAAUAUUUAUAAACGGGAGAAAAAAAUAUUUGGAGACAAAAAUUGGAAAACUCUGACUUCUUGCCUUGACUUCUGAAACUGAAUUUGACUUUGUUGGUGAUAGUGUCUUAAAAACUGGGAACACUUGGAAUCUCUCUGGGGAUCAGAAGAAUUAGAACGCAACCAUCUUAUUUCGUUAAUUGAAGGUGAGUGAUAUUCUAUGUUUUAUUACAAUGUGAUGUGGUAUGGAAUGUCUGUGCGGAAUAUGAGAGAGGAAGAGGAAGAUUUUGUUUUCCUUCUUUUUUUGAAUGUCAUGAACUUUGCAUUUUUCCUGCAAGGAAUAUUAUUUCUUUAUUGCGACCAAA